rnacentral:rRNA from 1 species
CUAAACGGACGCGGUAAAUCGUGCUAAGGUAGCUAAAUUAUGGCCUAUUAAUUGUAGGCCCUGUGAAUGGUUUGACUAGUUUCCCUCUGUCUCUAACUUUUUUUGGUGAAUUUAAAUUGGAUGUGCAAAUGCUUCUAUGGGUAAGAAAGACGAGAAGACCCCGUGAAGUGAGAAUUUUUUAUUACUGUGAAAGGCCUUCCCCGAUUUACUUAAUCUUAUGUUAAGUCAAUUAGUGCGGUAAGAUUUGGUGAGGGAUUAAGUGCCCACUUAUAGAGAAGCGAGAGGGGUGUAAUAAUAGGUUUUGGCUGGGGCAGCAAAAAGGCAAAAUUAGACCUUUUCAGACUAUAGACGGGUGCGUUAGGAUCCAUAUAAUUGGGAAGAUGUGCUUAACAGAAGGAGUUACUCCGGGGAUAACAGCGUUAUCCAUCCUGACAGCUCUUAUAGACGGGUGGGUUUGCGACCUCGAUGUUGGCUCUGGGUAUCCUGAGGCUGUAGGUGGUUUCAAGGGUUGGUUUGUUCGCCCAUUAAAACCCG